GUGCAGCAGUCGCGAAAACUCCGCAAUACGCGAAAGCGUGACGGGGCUACCCCGAGUGUCGUCCGCUGAGGACGACUUUUCCACGCUGUAAGGAGGCGUGGGAAUAAGGAGAGGGCAAGUCUGGUGUCAGCCGCCGCGGUAAUACCAGCUCUCCGAGUGGUUGGGACGAUUAUUGGGUCUGAAUCGUCCGUAGCCGGCCGGAAAAGUUCCCCGUUAAAUCUGGCGAUCCAAUCGUUGGGCUGCGGGGAAUACUCUUCGGCUUGGGGGCGGGAGAAGCCGACGGUAUUUCCGGGGUAGGGGUAAAAUCCUAUAAUCCCGGGAAGACCACCAGUGGCGUAGGCGGUCGGCUAGCACGCGCUCGACAGUGAGGGACGAAAGCUGGGGUAGCGAACCGGAUUAGAUACCCGGGUAGUCC
rnacentral:rRNA from 1 species